AGCCGCGCUUCCUCCUCCUCCUCCUCCGCGGUUGCUCGGCCUGGCUGGGCUUCGGGAGAGGAGGAGCAGGAGCCGGGCUUGGUGCGCCUCCCGCUGCGCCCCGCUGGCUGGCUGGGGCUGCCACGCCGAGCCCUCCGCGCAGGCUGGAUGUCUUCUGACUUCCCUUGACUAUGGAGCUCGAAAGGAUGAACCCAGAGGGGGCUCCUGAAGAACCAGAGGAAGAGAAGACAGAUGAUGGCAAAAGCUGCCCUGCUUGCAUGGGCCGCUUCCAUGAAACAGUUUCCAAAUGGAUGCUUCCAGAAGAUACCAGAGGGACCUACCUUGAAAGAGCCAACUGCAUCCCACCCCCCAUUUUUAUCCUUGCAAUCAGUCUUGCCGAGCUAACUACAUUCAUUUAUUAUGCUGUUUGGAAGCCCCAAGAACAGUGGAUCACUCUAGAUUCCAGCAUCUGGGACAGUCCUUUUACUUACAGACCUGAUAAGAGGGAAGAAGCCUGGAGAUUCUUGUCCUAUAUGCUUGUACAUGCUGGCGUUGAACAUAUCUUAGGAAACCUUUUCCUUCAGCUUAUUUUAGGAAUCCCCCUUGAAUUGGUUCACAAAGGACUCAGAGUCGGGCUGGUGUACAUAGCAGGAGUCAUUGCGGGUUCCUUAGCAAGUUCAGUCUGUGAUCCACGCCAUGCUCUUGUAGGAGCAUCUGGAGGAGUUUAUGCUCUUAUCGGAGGAUACUUCAUGAAUGUUAUAGUGAACUUCCGGGAAAUGAUUCCACUAUUUGGAGUUGCCAGAUUACUAUUCAUCCUCUUAAUUACUUCUGCUGUCAUGGGAAUUUCCCAAACGGUGAGCUCCAGAGAGGGCUUGGACAUCUGUUGCGUUUUCUUGGUAACGUGAAAUAGCAAAGCAAAGAUGUGAGUAAAAGAUAUUCUAAUAUCUAUUGCAUAGGUCCCUAGUGCAGUACCUGUUGACACGUUUCCUGGUGCCCGCUAAAUGUUUUUAGAAAGUAAGUGGAGCCAGCAGGUCUUGGUCACUGGAGAUCUGAUUGGCUGUGCAGAUUAAAAUAACGUUGUUUCUGUGUUACCUGCCAACAUUGUGUUGGCCUUCUUGUCUCUCAAUCUUCUUCCCCAGGGUAAUUUUUAAUUUACCCCUCUUCUCCAUAGCAUUUGUGCUUUCUCUGUGUGUCUGUGCAGGAAGCACAGCCAUUUUGUGGUUGACUCUGCUUCCCGCAGCAGCCAUUUUGUGCUUUCACCCGCCACCCUAUGUCAGAAUUCCAGUUGCGCCCACAAGCUUAAAAAAGGUUGGGGACUCCUGAUCUAUUGUCCUGACAGGAUGGAAGGGGAGGAGUUGUGCACUAAUAAUAAGGUACAAUAGUUGACUUCACCUAAUAAUAGGGUAACGUCUACUGGAAGACGUGCAUUUUUUCUCCUUUCACCCCAGAAAGUAGCCCUGGCUUAACUCACAGUUCUACAGAUCCUUUCACAUGAAGCAUUUGAAGAUUUAAGACUCCAGUGGCAGGUUUAAGGUCCUCUCCUCUGCUUACUUUUCUCUCUCUCUUCUUGUAUUCUCUCCUUAUAACUUUCUGUACCUCACUGGCUGUUCCAGUAUUGCACAGCUAACCAUUUGUGGGUUGCAGCCUGUCCAGUUGGUGGUGGGCUCUGAAAUGUUUGGAGAUUGAACAAUUAUUGGCUGCUAACAAGAUGUAUUGAUUUCCUAGUUGGGACAGACAUAGGAUUUGCUUUGUACAGAAGAUUUGCUACUGCGGAUGUGCCUAUAGUUUCCUUUGUGGCCCACAUUGCAGGUGGCCUCGCUGGAAUGUCAAUGGGUUAUGUCAUAUUCAACGAUUUUGAUAAGAAUUUUAUUAAAGAUCCAAGAUUCUGGGUCUC